GAGGGUGAACCAACAGCAAAAGGAAGACCUUUCUCUCUAUCUCUCUCUCUCUCUCACUAUCCACUCUGCCUGUCAAAAAAAAAAAAAAGCAGACGGGGAAGUGGUGAGAAGACUACAGGGGACGGAGCAUCCAGGGGAGCCCCCACAGAAAGAUGCCCCCUGUAAAGGAGGGAGCUCCAGAGAGGGAAGGCAGGGGCCAUGGCCCCAUGGCAGGCAGGCUGGGCAGGGUGGCACAGAGCCAGGCCGGAGAGCUCAGGCCAAGUCGGUCUGGGCACAGCCACACAGGCCCUUGCAGGGGGGGGUUGUGUUUUAAUCCGAGCGUGACUGGAGAACUUGGAUGAGCAGGGAACCGGCAGUUCUAAGGGAGCUCUUGGAGGGCCCCUCUGGGGCUGGUUGAUGUCAGGCCUGUUGGAGGGUGGGAGAAGGAGAAGGAGCGAAGGCGGCUGCAGGGCUGGGCCGGCGUUCCAGCAAACAGGGCAGCUGGGACAGAGGCUGCGGCCGUAGAGGAGGAGAGAGCAGGUGGGCUCAGAACUCCGAGAGAGCCAAGAGCACGUGGUGAGGGGCUGCAGAUGGGGAGGGGGGUGCUCCAUGAGUGCCUCAUUCAGGCAGGCUGGGUCGCUGUUGGCCGGAAAGACACCAGGGUGUACACACUCCCUGUCCAUGCGAGGGGAGAAUCUCAAGCUGCCAGGACAGAGUCGGCAGGUGUGGGGGCCUCAGGAGGGCCCGAGAGAGCCCUCCCCUUCCUUGUCACGUACUCAGCGAGACCCGAAGUGGACGAUCAGAGGGUGACCACACAAAAUAAACACCUUACAAGGACGAGUUUGUAAGAUGAAGAAAACACAGAGAAGCAUGGUCCUGGAAGGCUUCAUGGAGGUGACGAUUUCUCCCCUAUAUCUAGAAGCACAAGGAGAAUCUGAACAGGCUGAGUGGACACUGAGAGAGAGAGAUGAGAGAAAGGUCUUCCUUUUGCCGUUGGUUCACCCUUCAAUGGCCGCCGCGGCCGGCACACUGCGCUGAUCUGAAGGCAGGAGCCAGGUGCUUCUCCUGGUCUCCCAUGGGGUGCAGGGCCCAAGGACUUGGGCCAUCCUCGUCUGUACUCCCUGGCCACAGCAGAGAGCUGGCCUGGAAGCUGGCCUGGCAACUGGGACAGAAUCUGGCGCCCCGACCGGGACUAGAACCUGUUGUGCCGGUGCUGCAGGCAGAAGAUUAGCCUAUUGAGCCGUGGCGCCGGCCUAAGACCCCCUUUUCUUCCUCACAUCACUCCCAUCAUUUUUGUCCACAAACCGGGACCUGCUCCAGGAAUAAGGUGUGGGGACAGAUGAGCCUCGAGCUCCCAGGGUGUGCCAGAGAAAGACUCCUAACCGCUGACGCUGCCAUUGUGGCUGAACCUCCACGUGCACUGAUCUCUCUUGGUCCUGACCUUGGCAAGGUGAGGUGCAGAAGCUGAGCUUCCAGCAAGUUCAAUGGCCUGUCAAAGGCAACCAGGCACCAUGGCUGCAGCCAGACCUGAGUUUCCCGAGACUCCACCUGGGAGUCUUUUCCCAAAACCACCCAAGGUGACAGCUUCUGCAGGACAGAGCGGAGGCAGCUGCUCCCAGCCCCCAUCCGACAGCACACGCCACGUGCGCCUGGGCACUGAGGGUGAUACCACCUGCCUUCCUGCCUUUCUCCAGGGUCCUCUGGGAGCCCUUCCCCCAAGCACAGCACCAGAUGGCCGGCUUCCGCUGUGCCUCUGCUCUCCGUCCCAACCCCUAGCCAAUACUCAGAGGUUCAUCCACUUCCGAAAAACCUGGGCACGGAAAUGGCCGAGGAGGACGCGGCAACCACUGACUGCCUCUGUUGCUAAGAAACGGGCCCUUUAAAUUGAAUUUACAAAAAAGAUCGAGCGAGCGAGAAGUGAGCGAGCGCUACAAAGAGAUGCUUGAACAUCUGGUUAUCUUCCCCGGCUGUCUCCGGUGACUAUGAAAAUGAGAUAAGUACAUUCUGAGAUGGAUGCUGGCCCUCCGCGAGCCAUUUUCCAACUCCCCUCUCAGCUAAUAUUUCAGAUCAACAGCGAGUCUGAUUGGGGGGGUGGAGUGCAGAGGAGGAAUGUGUUCAGGGAAGCUCGGGGGGAUUGGGAAAAAUGCAGCCACACCUCCCCUCCAGGAAGAGCUCAGACCCACAAGACAGCGAGCGCCCUGGCCUCGGCGGCCGGCGCCCUUGUCACCUCCACGGCAGAAGACGCCAUCCCUCCUGCUUGUACAGCACUCUUGAGCCCACGCAGGCUUCUCCUACAUGUUGCAGCUGCUCUUAUGGAGCAAAUGUCAUUUUCUGCACAUCACAGACGAGGAGGGGGAGGAGCAGGCUGGCUGGAAAUCCCAGCUUUACCAGGAGUGCAUUGGCUGCGAGCCGCAAUCCCCACCCGGCCAAGAAUGGGCUCAGCUGCUCGCUUCCUCCCUGGGCCUCGGAGCAUCCGCUACAACCCACGAGAGAGGGUUGGACCCCGAUUUCCCACCGCAUGCACCACUCACUGAUGUUCCUCGGGCGGCUACUAUGUGUUUGGUCAGAAAGGAAUUCUCUGUUAUCAUCACAGGUUUGGGAAGCACUGUCAAGUCUCCCCUUCCUAUGGGCUGAAUGUUGGUGUCCCCCAAGAUGCAGACAUUGAACGCCUGAUCCCUAACAUCAUCGUAUUCGGAGAGGGGUAGAUGGUAGGCAGCAGAAGGUAAGCCCUUGUAACAAGGGGCAGGAGAGACGCCGCCUCCUGCCUCUGCUCUCUGCCAGGUGCAGGCUCAGCAACGAGACAGCCACCUGGGAGCCAGGAAGAGGGCCCUCACCAGACCUGCCUGCCCGUGCUGGCGUCCUGGGCUCGGCCCUCCCAGCCGCCAGAACUAUGAGAAAUGAAUGCCUGUGUAUAAGCCAGUUGGUCUAGGGGCUUCUGUUACAGCAGCCCAAGCUGACCGAGACAGCCUCACGACAAGGCUCCCCAAAGCCUUUAAUACUUUCCUGUGUUACAGGAAUCCCCAAGAGCAGCUAUCUGGGCUGUGAUUCCCCCACCCUCCGAAAGAGGCUACGAGAUAAGGAUUUGCAUGCAAGGAGGCAUGCCCCAGAAACUCCAGUAGAGAUGAGACAGACGAGGAAGAGACUGAAGCCGUGGAUAAAGAGAGCAGCAGGCAGGCUCUGAGCCAAGAGCUGUCAGGCAGAGAUGCGGACACAGGCAAUCGGGAGCCGGCCCAGCACAGCAGCAUGGCAGGGCCUGGGAGACAAGGCGUGACGGCGGAGUUGCAGCUUCUGGUCACUGAAGUCUCCGGAGGAGAGCAGCUCCCAGGGCACCUGUUGGACACUGAGGAGUCCGUGGCACAGCAGGCCAGGAGCUCUCCAAGGGCUGCACAACGCUACAAGCCUGAGGCAAUCACUUUACAUCGGCCAGGGAGGUACUCCUGCUCACCACCUCCCAAACACUGGCUAGACGGAUGUUCACAGAUGGAGACGAAUUUGCAUCACCCUGUUCAACUUUUUUGUUGUUGUUGUUGUUGUUGACAGGCAGAGUGGACAGUGAGAGAGAGACAGAGAGAAAGGUCUUCCUUUUGCCGUUGGUUCACCCUCCAAUGGCUGCUGCGGCCGGUGCGCUGCGGCCGGUGCAUCAGGCUGAUCCGAAGCCAGGAGCCAGGUGCCCCUCCUGGUCUCCCAUGGGGUGCAGGGCCCAAGCACUUGGGCCAUCCUCCACUGCACUCCCUGGCCACAGCAGAGAGCUGGCAUGGAAGAGGGGCAACCGGGACAGAAUCCGGCGCCCCGACUGGGACUAGAACCCAGUGUGCCGGCGCCGCAAGGUGGAGGAUUAGCCUAGUGAGCCGCGGCGCCGGCCCCUGUUCAUCUUUUGGAACCUGACCCCGAGACCCGGCCCCCAGUCUCAGCCUAAACCACUGCGGUCUGACCUCACACCCAUAGAGCCGAUGACUGGGAAGGCAGGCGUGGAGUACGGCUGCUGCUUCCCGUGGUGCACCAUCUCCCCCUGGGUGGCUUAGGUUGGCUGAAGGCCAGCGAAUGACCCUGAAGUGCUCCCUCUACUCACCCCCUCCUGCUGAUGCUCAGAGGGGCCUGAAGCCUGAUGUUGGAUCACUAGAAUAAAACUUAGCCCAAGAGAGGUACCCGGGGUCAAACUGUACCUCCUCUUCUCCUUGAAAGGAAAUGGACCCAGGGGACCUCUAAGCCAUCACCAGCCUGAACUAACCGGGCAGAAGCUCGGAGCCAGAGACAACCACAAGCACCCAGGGAUUGUUUUAGUUCUUGGGGUCCGAUUUGUUUUUAACAAAUCCAUUCAAAUUUCGAGAAAUCUUGGUCUCAAAAUAAGUGAUAUCUGAAUCGUAAGAUGAGGAGUGAUGCCCUGGGUUACCCGGGAUGGAAGUCACCCCUGCAGUGCCCCCUCCAGGCUGCUGAAUGCCCCCUCCCGGCCGCGGGGCCCAUGUCUGGGGUCGUUGUUGACCCUGUGCUCUGGCUGCAGGUGGCCAGCACUGGCAGGGGCCCUUCUGAGACCCAGCCCCCGCAGUGACACGCCUGUCCCACUUCCUCCCAGGCAGCAGAGGCCAGAGUUGCUUUUGGGUAGAAAUGUGCCCCAGCCCCAGGAAGUGGACUACAACUGGUCUGAGCCCACCAUGUCCCUUCACUCCCCUGUGUCCCCUGCAGCCCGGAGGCCGUGUGACCCAGGCCUGACCAGCAAGGCCCAAGCAGGGCUCAGCUGGGGUGAUUCUAAGCACUCACUUGACUCUCGCGACCCUAGCAUCACCUUGCUCUUCUCGUUUCCGGGGAGGUAAACGGGAUGAAUGGAGCCCUAGCAGCAAUUUUGUUUUGACAAAAGACCAAAAGACCAUUCUCAAUGUGGGCUCUGAUGGUAUACAACAGCUGACCCACUGCCCACAACACCCGUCGUCAGAUGUACUGUUACAUUGAGAAAAUGCAGCCUACAGGUAAAAGGCACAUUAGGUCUUCUGUGUCUUGCACCUGAACACCUCACAAGCAAUCCCUUCUCACCCGCCCUGACUCCAGCUCCUGAACGUGUCUCCCAGGGAGCACCUGCUGGCCCAGUCCUCCAUGCCGAUGCCACAGGAGUCUUUUCCACAAUGCAAAUCUAUGGGAAGCUCUGCAGUGGCUCCCAGGCUUCAUGGAGCGGGGAUCACAUCCCAGGUUCUCAGGAUGGUAUUUAAGCUGCUUCACGAUAUGAGCCCACCUGCCUUCAAGCCUCAUCUCCUGUAACUCCCUCCCCCUGCACGCACACACUCUAGCUCCAAACACACGCAUCAGCCACGUGGGCUACUGCCCAGAGCCUGGCCCAUCAGGUUCUCCCAGGCUCCAUGACUUGCCAUGUGCUGCUCGCUCUGCCUAACGUUCCUUCCCACUACUGCUCUUGGAGGACUCCUGGAAGGGUUCACAGUGAGUAGGGAUCUGUGAGCUGAC